rnacentral:miRNA from 1 species
AAUUUGGUCUUCUCGGAAGGC